rnacentral:lncRNA from 1 species
CCCUGCACCUGCACAUCUGGGGUUAGGGGAGAGGGGUGAGCUAUAAAGCCCAGUGAGCAGAAUAGAGAAAACAUAUAUUAAAUAUUUCAUGCUUCCAUGAAAUGCAACACAUCACAAACAUAUCACAUAAGGAUGGUAUUGUCACCUAUAGUCCUCAACAUAGUCCAAUCGUGCCAGGGGCGUAGAAUGGGCCUCACUGGUCUUUCUCUUACAUACAUAACAUAACAUAACAUUCCAAUAUGCCAGGGGCGUAGAAUGGGCCUCACUGGUCUUUCUCUUAACAUAGUCCAGGGGCGUAGAAUGGGCCUCACUGGCAAUCCAUACCGUAUCGUCAUCAUAUCAUACCAUAGGAGGACUAGAGGAUCAUCCAAUGACCAAUCCGCAUCCACAUC